AAGUAGCUGGCCCCGUAGAGGUGGAAGCAGCAUGGGCAGGAGUGGUUUUGCAGCGAUCUGGAGCCCGUGAGAUUUGGAGGGACAAGCUGGAAACGGAGCAGGC
rnacentral:SRP_RNA from 1 species